rnacentral:rRNA from 1 species
UACGGGGGGGGCAAGCGUUGUUCGGAAUUACUGGGCGUAAAGGGCGCGUAGGCGGCCAGACAAAGUCGAGCGUUAAAUUCCAGGGCUUAACCCUGGGCUGUUGCUCGAUACUAGUCGGCUAGAGUGUGGAAGAGGGUGCUGGAAUUCCCGGUGUAGCGGUGAAAUGCGCAGAUAUCAGGAAGAACACCCGUGGCGAAGGCGGCUCUCUGGGACGGUACUGACGCUGAGACGCGAAAGCGUGGGGAGCGAACAGG